GGCCCGGCGGUGCAAGGGUGUCACCACAGUUUCCACCAACACGCGCUUCGGAGAAGAGAAGGCGUGUUGGGAAGUGGAAUAUGUCGCGGGUUCGAAUCCCGCACAGGCCA